rnacentral:rRNA from 1 species
GAUGAACGCUGGCGGCGUGCCUAAUACAUGCAAGUCGAACGAAACUUCUUUAUCACCGAGUGCUUGCACUCACCGAUAAAGAGUUGAGUGGCGAACGGGUGAGUAACACGUGGGCAACCUGCCCAAAAGAGGGGGAUAACACUUGGAAACAGGUGCUAAUACCGCAUAACCAUAGUUACCGCAUGGUAACUAUGUAAAAGGUGGCUAUACUACCGCUUUUGGAUGGGCCCGCGGCGCAUUAGCUAGUUGGUAGGGUAAAGGCUUACCAAGGCAAUGAUGCGUAGCCGAAUUGAGAGGUUGAUCGGCCACAUUGGGACUGAGACACGGCCCAAACUCCUACGGGAGGCAGCAGUAGGGAAUCUUCCACAAGGGGCGAAAGCCUGAUGGAGCAACGCCGCGUGGGUGAAGAAGGUCGUCGGAUCGUAAAACCCUGUUGUUAGAGAAGAAAGUGCGUGAGAGUAACUGGUCACGUUUCGACGGUAGCUAACCAGAAAGCCACUGCUAACUACGUGC